rnacentral:rRNA from 1 species
CUACGGGAGGCUGCAGUGGGGAAUAUUGGGCAAUGGGCGCAAGCCUGACCCAGCAACGCCGCGUGAGGGAAGAAUGUCUUCGGAUUGUAAACCUCUGUCCUUGGGGACGAAAAAAAUGACGGUACCCAAGGAGGAAGCUCCGACUAACUACGUGCCAGCAGCCGCGGUAAUACGUAGGGAGCAAGCGUUGUCCGGAAUUAUUGGGCGUAAAGGGUGCGUAGGCGGCGCUGUAAGUCAGAUGUGAAAUCCCCGGGCUUAACUCGGGAGUUGCAUUUGAAACUACAGUGCUUGAGUAAAGAAGGGGUAAGUGGAAUUCCUAGUGUAGCGGUGGAAUGCGUAGAUAUUAGGAGGAACACCAGUGGCGAAGGCGACUUACUGGUCUUUUACUGACGCUGAGGCACGAAAGCGUGGGGAGCAAACAGGAUUAGAUACCCCCGUAGUC